GAUGAACGCUGGCGGCGUGCUUAACACAUGCAAGUCGAACGAAGCAACUUGUCACGAUCCCUUCGGGGUGACGACUUGUUGACUGAGUGGCGGACGGGUGAGUAACGCGUGGGUAACCUACCUUGUACAGGGGGAUAACAGUUGGAAACGACUGCUAAUACCGCAUAAGCGCACAACAUCGCAUGACGCAGUGUGAAAAGUUUUUUCGGUAUAAGAUGGACCCGCGUCUGAUUAGCUAGUUGGUGAGGUAACGGCCCACCAAGGCGACGAUCAGUAGCCGACCUGAGAGGGUGACCGGCCACAUUGGGACUGAGACACGGCCCAAACUCCUACGGGAGGCAGCAGUGGGGAAUAUUGCACAAUGGGCGAAAGCCUGAUGCAGCGACGCCGCGUGAGCGAAGAAGUAUUUCGGUAUGUAAAGCUCUAUCAGCAGGGAAGAUAAUGAC
rnacentral:rRNA from 1 species